ensembl:rRNA 5S_rRNA 5S ribosomal RNA
CCUUGCGAAUCUCCUCAAUCUCAAAGUACAGGAUCGAUCUGAUCUCGGAAGCUAAGCAGGGUCGGGCCUGGUUAGUACUUGAAUGGGAGACCCCCUAGGAAGACCAGGUACCGUAGGCG